UACGUAGGGUGCAAGCGUUAUCCGGAAUUAUUGGGCGUAAAGAGCUCGUAGGCGGCUUGUUGCGUCGACUGUGAAAACCCGCGGCUUAACCGCGGGCUUGCAGUUGAUACGGGCAGACUAGAGUGCUGUAGGGGAGACUGGAAUUCCUGGUGUAGCGGUGAAAUGCGCAGAUAUCAGGAGGAACACCGGUGGCGAAGGCGGGUCUCUGGGCAUUACCUGACGCUGAGGAGCGAAAGUGUGGGGAGCGAACAGG
rnacentral:rRNA from 1 species